rnacentral:lncRNA from 1 species
CUGGUCUAACACACUCCCCACAUGUGGGUGCCCCACGGGCUUCCUCGGGUAUCUGAGGUCAUCGCGUGACCCUGGGUCUCCAGAGGUUCCAUGUAAAAGGAUCGACUGCCUAGUACAGUUUGAUAAAUGGAUCAUCGCUUUGGAUAAGUGCUAAAGAUCCAUAUGGAUGCCAUGCAUGGAGUUGUGGACCCAUAAAGAAGAAUCUCUGUGAAGAACUCGGCACUCGGCACCCCAGAAAAUUCAGCAGUUAAUUGUGUUCCCCCUGGGGCUGGGGAUGUGGCUCAAGCAGUAGCGAGCUGGCCUGGGUUCGAUCCUCAGCACCACAUACAAACAA